CCCCCACCGGCCACGACACCCCCCACGACACCCCAGCCGUCCACGACACCCCCCACGCCACCCCUGCGGGCUACACCACCUCCGCCAGUCACGCCAUCCCUGAAAAGAGGCUAUGCAUUCAUAGGUGGCAGUAAAAGGGUAGCAGCUGGGGGUACCUCACCACCCCAGUGGAAGAAGUGCGCCAAGGCCUCUGUACCCUUACGACCCCGCACUUCGCCACCUCAGCCGGCUCCAACCCCUGCUCGGGGUUAUGAUUUAUUGGACUUGUCCAGCAACUCCACUUCAACCCCGAAAGCCAAGGAAGGCCCAGCCCAGGGAUGUGAGGAUGUGAGGGGCGUAUCUAAAUAAAAUGACAACAUUUGAUA